CAGCGGCUCCACCGUGCUCCGGUGCGGCGGCAAUUCGCCUCAGGUUGGCCGUUUUCGACCGAAUUCGGCCACACUUGCAUUGGUCCCUGCGAUAAAACAACCCUAGGGCCCUCGGGGGGCCAAAAAAUUACGAAAAACCGAAGCUUACCGGCGGCGGUGCUCUUGGGUGCGGCGGCUCUCCGGUGAGGUUCGUGUUUUGGUGAUUU
rnacentral:lncRNA from 1 species